GGCUUGAUAGCUCAGUUGGUAGAGCACUGCACCAGUAUCGCAGUGGUCAUGGGUUUGAAUCCCCUUCAGGCCU
rnacentral:tRNA from 1 species